UACGGGGGGAGCAAGCGUUGUUCGGAUUUACUGGGCGUAGAGGGCGCGUAGGCGGUCGUGACAAGUCACUUGUGAAAUCUCCGGGCUUAACUCGGAACGGUCAAGUGAUACUGUCGGACUAGAGUACAGAAGGGGCAACUGGAAUUCUCGGUGUAGCGGUGAAAUGCGUAGAUAUCGAGAGGAACACCUGCGGCGAAGGCGGGUAGCUGGGCCGACACUGACGCUGAGGCGCGAAAGCCAGGGGAGCGAACGGG
rnacentral:rRNA from 1 species